UGAGCGAUCUGCCCUUAACUCUGGGAUAAGCCUGGGAAACCGGGUCUAAUACCGGAUAUGACUCCUCAUCGCAUGGGUGGGGGGUGGAAAGCUUUAUUGUGGUUUGGAUGGACUCGCGGCCUAUCAGCUUGUUGGUGAGGUAAUGGCUCACCAAGGCGACGGACGGGUAGCCGGCCUGAGGAGGGGUGACCGGCCACACGUGGGACUGAGACACGGCCCAGACUCCGUACGGGGAGGCAG
rnacentral:rRNA from 1 species